rnacentral:rRNA from 1 species
UACGGAGGGAGCGAGCGUUGUUCGGAAUCACUGGGCGUAAAGGGUGCGUAGGCGGAUUAACAAGUCAGGAGUGAAAUCCCCGGGCUUAACCCGGGAACUGCUUUUGAUACUGUUAUUCUAGAGUUUGGCAGAGGUUGGCGGAAUUCCUAGUGUAGAGGUAAAAUUCGUAGAUAUUAGGAGGAACACCAGUGGCGUAGGCGGCCAACUGGGCCAUUACUGACGCUGAGGCACGAAAGCGUGGGGAGCAAACAGG